UUGACCUCAAAUCGGGUGAGACUACCCGCUGAACUUAAGCAUAUCAAUAAGCGGAGGAAAAGAAACUAACAAGGAUUCCCCUAGUAACUGCGAGUGAAGCGGGAAAAGCUCAAAUUUAAAAUCUGGUGGUCUUUGGCCAUCCGAGUUGUAAUUUAGAGAAGCGUCUUCCGCGCUGGACCGUGCACAAGUCUCCUGGAAUGGAGCGUCGUAGAGGGUGAGAAUCCCGUCUUU
rnacentral:rRNA from 1 species